AUGACAAUUGUUCCAAAGUGGCAGUUUAAUCCCAGUUAUCUACUGUGUUUCUUUACUGUACUCUACUGUGUUUCUUUACUGUACUCUACUGUGUUUCUUUACUGUACUCUACUCUGUUUCUUUACUGUACUCUACUGUGUUUCUUUACUGUACUCUACUCUGUUUCUUUACUAUACUCUACUGUGUUUCUUUACUGUCCUCUACUGUGUUUCUUUACUGUACUCUACUGUAUUUCUUUACUGUACUCUACUGUGUUUCUUUACUAUACUCUACUGUAUUUCUUUACUGUACUCUACUGUGUUUCUUUACUAUACUCUACUGUAUUUCUUUACUGUACUCUACUGUGUUUCUUUACUAUACUCUACUGUAUUUCUUUACUGUACUCUACUGUGUUUCUUUACUGUACUCUACUCUGUUUCUUUACUGUACUCUACUGUGUUUCUUUACUGUACUCUACUCUGUUUCUUUACUAUACUCUACUGUGUUUCUUUACUAUACUCUACUGUAUUUCUUUACUGUACUCUACUGUGUUUCUUUACUAUACUCUACUCUGUUUCUUUACUGUACUCUACUGUGUUUCUUUACUGUACUCUACUGUGUUUCUUUACUGUACUCUACUGUGUUUCUUUACUAUACUCUACUGUAUUUCUUUACUAUACUCUACUGUAUUUCUUUACUGUACUCUACUGUGUUUCUUUACUGUACUCUACUGUGUUUCUUUACUAUACUCUACUGUAUUUCUUUACUGUACUCUACUGUGUUUCUUUACUAUACUCUACUGUGUUUCUUUACUGUACUCUACUUGCGUUUCUUUACUAUACUCUACUGCGUUUCUUUACUAUACUCUACUGUGUUUCUUUACUGUACUCUACUGUAUUUCUUUACUGUACUCUACUGUGUUUCUUUACUAUACUCUACUGUAUUUCUUUACUGUACUCUACUGUGUUUCUUUACUAUACUCUACUGUAUUUCUUUACUGUACUCUACUGUGUUUCUUUACUGUACUCUACUCUGUUUCUUUACUGUACUCUACUCUGUUUCUUUACUAUACUCUACUCUGUUUCUUUACUGUACUCUACUGUGUUUCUUUACUGUACUCUACUGUGUUUCUUUACUGUACUCUACUCUGUUUCUUUACUGUACUCUACUCUGUUUCUUUACUAUACUCUACUGUAUUUCUUUACUGUACUCUACUGUGUUUCUUUACUAUACUCUACUGUAUUUCUUUACUGUACUCUACUGUGUUUCUUUACUAUACUCUACUGUGUUUCUUUACUGUACUCUACUCUGUUUCUUUACUGUACUCUACUGUGUUUCUUUACUGUACUCUACUCUGUUUCUUUACUGUACUCUACUGUGUUUCUUUACUGUACUCUACUCUGUUUCUUUACUAUACUCUACUCUGUUUCUUUACUGUACUCUACUGUGUUUCUUUACUGUACUCUACUGUGUUUCUUUACUGUACUCUACUCUGUUUCUUUACUGUACUCUACUCUGUUUCUUUACUAUACUCUACUGUAUUUCUUUACUGUACUCUACUGUGUUUCUUUACUAUACUCUACUGUAUUUCUUUACUGUACUCUACUGUGUUUCUUUACUAUACUCUACUGUAUUUCUUUACUGUACUCUACUGUGUUUCUUUACUGUACUCUACUCUGUUUCUUUACUGUACUCUACUCUGUUUCUUUACUGUACUCUACUCUGUUUCUUUACUGUACUCUACUGUGUUUCUUUACUGUACUCUACUGUGUUUCUUUACUAUACUCUACUGUAUUUCUUUACUAUACUCUACUGUAUUUCUUUACUGUACUCUACUGUGUUUCUUUACUGUACUCUACUGUGUUUCUUUACUAUACUCUAUUGUAUUUCUUUACUUUACUCUACUGGGCUCAUGUAAUUAUAAAACAUUAG
rnacentral:lncRNA from 1 species